rnacentral:lncRNA from 1 species
UUGCAAACGAAUCGACCAGCAUCAUCAGAAGGCAUUACAUCAUAUCCCAUCUUCGACAAGUUCUUAACAAUUUCGUUGACAGGAAGAGAAGUCUGCAACAGCAGUCCAAUGGGAAACAUUAAACUGAUAUUUGUUUCCAAAUGAAGCCUAGACUUCCUUCAAUAUUUGAUCAGAGAAGACAAACAGUAAUGGCAUGUAAAGUGCUCAGAAAAUAGUUAUGCUAUCUGUACAACCGUAAACUCUAUGGAUGUUUUUGUGAAAGACACAGUUGUUCAUUUAGGUAUUCCCAAAAGAAUAGAAAAAAAAGAAAAAUGAAAGAACAGUCUUAUGCAAGACAGUAAAUGCUUGCAAGAACACGCUAAGCCAGCACUUAAGAUUUAAAGUCAAGAUCAACAUCAGAUAUAUGCUUGGCUUCUGGUAGAUGUGCAAGCCAUGGAUCCAAGAACAUCCAAGUUAGCAAACAUCUAAUAAUCAGCUAAUGCUCUCAUAGCCAGAUAUGUGACUCACAUAUCUAGGAUUAUAUGGUCAAGGCCAAAUAACCCAAAUAUGGAAAAUAAAUGUCCUGAUGCUCCAGUAACUACAGUGAAGUGUGUUUCCACUAGGUGAUUGCAUACAGGACACCUAGAGGUGAUCUAGGUGUGUCAACACAUUUAACCUUCAUAUUUAAUCAAAAUUCAAGCCUAAAAAGAUUUGUAAAAUGCUUAAGCUUAAAAGUUCUAACUUCCAUGGAUUCAUGAUCUAUAUAUUUGUUAAAUCAUGUUCAGUGAAUUGAAUGACACAAUUACUUGUGACUUUAGGGAGGCAGGCCCUGAGCCACGCCAGGAGAAGACAAAACAGAGUAUCAAUCAGUUGAUUGGUGUGUAAGAUUAAAAGGUAACCUACAGUUAUCUAACCAUAAGUUGGGAUGAAAUUCCAAAUUAGGACUUGCUGCUGAUUACAGUACAUCAUAUUGGAUCAACUAGAGUUUGCUAGAUCACAACAGAACUACAACAGAGAAUCACAAGAACAUUUUCGUCAAAGUCCACAAGUAAAAUAUGCAUGGGAAAGUUAAUAUAAGCCUAAGAGAUCACUAAGGGAUCCUUGUUAGUACAUUGAUUAGGACAGACAUGACAAAAAAUUGAAUAACUUAGAUCUAUCUGUCGAGUAUAAAGGUGCAAGUACAGAAGAAUAGAAUCAGAUUCUUUCUUUAGUCAAAUGACACAAGAAUCAGAUUCUUAUGUGCAUAGAAUUGUCUGAUGCAGAAGAUGCAUACAAGGACGAUAAACACAAGGACAUAGUGCAGCAAUGUAAUUCAACUAUUUCCAGUGUUGAUGAUGCAAACUUGUAGAUAAAUUUUCAGAAACCCAAAAACCAGAAAAGUCCUCUUCUCCCAAUAGAAUAGAAAAUCUAGAAGAGGUUGGUGAAUGUCCAUCUUCUUGCUAAGCACCUGAAAUUUCCAUGGACAUCCAACACAGAUGAUAAAAAUUGAUUGCAAGAUAAUGAUAAACCAGCUUCAUUAUGUGUAAUUAUCUGCUCCAGAUGACACCUUUGGGUCUGGGAAAACCAGUACCAAAGCAACUCCAAGUUCCCACUUAUCCCCAAAUUAGGAAAAACAAGCAAAAAGAUACCAUAUCUGAUCGUAAAUGUCCGAAAUCAAUUCCCAGGUUCCUAAUCCAAAAUAUUCAACCCUUUCUAGUUAAAAAGAUGAAAAAUGAAUAAAAAUGAAAAAGAAACAAAAGAAAAGAAAGAAAGACUAAGGAACUCAUAUCUGACGGAUGGGAGACUAUAUUUGCUGCUGAUUAUGUCCGUUGGAGUUCAAAAUGACAAUCUUGAACACUUACCACAGCUACUUAGCAAUUUCAAUCUCCAUCAGGAAGUUUAAAUUUACAACACAUAUUUCUCUUACUAAUGGAGGAAAGCCAGCAAUAGAUCAAAGUUGGCCAAAUAACACUAGCCAUGUUGAUAAAAGUUCCUUUCAUUUCACUAACUGAAACUUCAUGAGAAGAUUAUAGUAACCAUAACAUAUAUAUGGCAUCUUCAGUGAGAACCUGCAUUUGAAGAAAUUUGUUUAUGCUGCCAGAAUCAAUCCUUUACAUGGAAAUGUGCCAGAAGAAAAUCCAGAUGAGGUAACCUAGUGAUAAACUGAAAGUUAUUGUUUUCCAUCCAAUCACUUAGUUCUUCUCUUGGUUAGUAACUGAAUACAGAUCAAUCACAAGAAUGUUGUUGAGGAAAAGAAAACAAGGUAGUGUGUCUCAUGAUCAUAAUGCAGAUGAAAGAACCAUACUUUAUGCACUGUUGAGUUGAAAAUUUUAAAUGGAUUGUUUAUUUAGAGGUCGGAUUCUAUAUGUUAAUCUAAAUAGUUUUAAUGACAUAUCAGGAUUUGCAUGGGAUGAAAAAAAUCCAAAUCAAAGGAAAGGAGAAGUUAAUAGAUUUGAUGUGUUGUCAUUGAAUCGUGUGGAAAGAACAAAAAACCAGAAUUUUCUAAAUGGAAAAGAAACCUGUUUUAAGUGCUCUUCUACUUCAUGAUGUCAGACUUUUCUGUGUGCUAGAGAAUCUUACUUCUUUUUUGGUUUGUAUAAUCAUUUGUUUUAUUCCCAUCUUCAGCUUUUUAUAUUUCAGCUUUUUAUUCUUUCUUUCUUCUUCUUCUACUUACUCUUAUUAUGUCCUUCCUCUAAUAAUGAAUUACAAUGGUGUUAUAUCUCAUCCCGAUAGAUCUAGUAGGCCUAUAAUUUAGAUGGACUUAAACAAUUGAUCUGUUUGUAUCCCCAGAGCAAACACAACGAUUUAGAUCCUGCAAAAGUCUGUAUGCUCAUAAAUAUGUGUAUAGCAGAACAGCAUGUACUGAUGUGGGUAUACUGAGAAAGAGGAGCUACAGUAAUAAAUCUAGUUCAAUGAAAUCAACUAAUGAAUGUCUUUGGGACUUCUAGUGAAGUUGUUCUCAGUGAUUAUACAUAUCUCAACUAAGAAGCUUGAUAUUCAUCCAAUAAUUUAUUCCAUACCAUUUUACAUAACUCUUAAAGAUCAUGAUGUUUCCAAAAGAGCAGGUAAUCAUGAUCUGAAAGAAAAAAAAAAACUAAAAGUCAAUGAAGAAGUUGUCAUACUACAGCCACAAUGGUCAGCAUACCUCUCGAACCUGUGAGAUGCUUCCAUCAGAAGGUACAAUUGCAACUUUCUGCAUGGUGAACAAAAGGCAAUUGUUUACAGAAGAGUCAUCGUGCAAAAGUAUGAUGUACAAAUAUAAGAGUAACUCAAGCAAUGAAAAACAGCAAAGCACAUAUGACCUGAGGUUUCCAUCCCAUCUCAUCUGGACAGCGAAAGGUUGCCUCAUUGACUGCUUGAUUCUCAAUAGCAAACCUUGUAGCACCACUAUUUACUCCAAGAUGCAGCUGAUAAAACAACAUAACAAAAAAGAAAAAGAAAAAGUGUGAAGACAUAACUGAAAGAGAAACCAGGUUAAGUCAGCAAGU